ensembl:lncRNA
GUCUCAUACAUAGUACCAGCUGGAAUUGGCAGCAGACUUCGUAUCUGGACUGAGCAAGGAUGUGUGCUCAUCACUGAAUGUGUCACCUGAAGCAGACUGUUCCAGUAGCUCUGUUGUAUCUUGGAGACCUCAUGACUCCAUUCUCAUGAUUGUCAAUCCAUCCCAGCUGCAAUGCCUACAGGACACCAGCCUAAGGUCUUUGGCCAGCCCUCAACAUAAUUGAGAUGGAAUUUACAAAAGGAAAAUUGAGAAACACUCUCUUGAGGAUGAGAUCUCAGAGUAGCAAGUCUUCACUCUCCCUCUCUGUUGGGCUACAGGGGGAAACGCGUGUGAUCUUUCUGGUGUAAUGGAGACAUGCCUUUGCCCUCUGAUGGGAAUGAAGCAGCAAGCCGCCAAGCCACACAACGGAAGCCUGAAAUGAGAUGACUUGGGCAAUUUGCACAAGAGUUUCCUACUUUAAAUAAUUAGAGUCACUAUCCCUGGGGGCAUUUGCUUAUUGGCUGCCUUAACAGUCUUCUUCUUUUUUUUUUUUUAAAGCAAGUCUCUUAAAGAUACUGCUCUUGAUCUUACACGCACUUGCCAAGACUUGUCUUAUUCUUAUAGUACUGAUGUUCUACUGUUCAAAAGUUAGGAAGGAGCUGAUUCUGAGCUGGAAACAAGGGCAGCAGAAGAUAGAGAUAGUAGGCUCAUUUUGUGCAUGAGUCCCAGAGAGAGAGAGUGCCAGCCAUUGCAGGAGCUACCACGGUUAACCUGCCUGCCAAAAUCCCGAAUGUUUAACACUCCUCCCUCUGGAACUGGUACCAGAAGC